GACGAACGCUGGCGGCGUGCCUAAUACAUGCCAGUAGAACGCACAGUUUAUACCGUAGCUUGCUACACCAUAGACUGUGAGUUGCGAACGGGUGAGUAACGCGUAGGUAACCUGCCUGGUAGCGGGGGAUAACUAUUGGAAACGAUAGCUAAUACCGCAUAAUAUUGAUUAUUGCAUGAUAAUUAAUUGAAAGGUGCAAUUGCACCACUACCAGAUGGACCUGCGUUGUAUUAGCUAGUAGGUGAGGUAACGGCUCACCUAGGCGACGAUACAUAGCCGACCUGAGAGGGUGAUCGGCCACACUGGGACUGAGACACGGCCCAGACUACUACGGGAGGCAGCAGUAGGGAAUCUUCGGCAAUGGACGAAAGUCUGACCGAGCAACGCCGCGUGAGUGAAGAAGGUUUUCGGAUCGUAAAGCUCUGUUGUAAGAGAAGAACGGGUGUGAGAGUGGAAAGUUCACACUGUGACGGUAUCUUACCAGAAAGGGACGGCUAACUACGUG
rnacentral:rRNA from 1 species